CUUUUUAUGACACGUUUGAGGGAAUGUUUAUUGGAGAGGGGGGCAGAAUAGAAAAGAGGAGUUACUGAUCAUGAUUUAGAUAUCUAAACGUGGUAGCCUAAAAGCUAACAUAAACGUCCAGGAUAAUUUGUCUAAUUAAUAAAUCUAUUCGGUAAACAUGUGUUUAUAUAUGAAGGGGAUGGGGGAGGGUCGCUUAUUGGAGAGGGGAACUACUUGAUGUAUUUAUAUGUAAAGAGGGAUGGUUUAUUAGAGAAAGGUGGUGUUAAUAAAUUUCUUGUUCUGAAAAGGAGGACAUCGAUUAUUAGACAGGGAGCUUUUUGAGAGGGGUCUCAAUAAAGGAUUUACGGUAACACACACCCGCCAGCUUCGCGGCGUCCCUGGCUGAAUGUAUAUAUAGUAAUUUGCAUAAGAAAUAUUUGAAUAUAAUCUUAUCAGUAGUGCUUGCUUUGUAGAGAAAGAGAGGGG